rnacentral:rRNA from 1 species
GACGAACGCUGGCGGCGUGCUUAACACAUGCCAGUCGAACGGUGAAGCGCCUUCCUUUUUGGUGGGUGUGGAUGAGUGGCGAACGGGUGAGUAACACGUGAGUAACCUGCCCCCUUCUUCUGGAUAACCGCAUGAAAGUGUGGCUAAUACGGGAUAUUCUGGGUCUGUCGCAUGAUGGGUCUGGGAAAGAUAUUGUUUCGGUGGGGGAUGGGCUCGCGGCCUAUCAGCUUGUUGGUGGGGUGAUGGCCUACCAAGGCGGUGACGGGUAGCCGGCCUGAGAGGGUGGACGGUCACACUGGGACUGAGACACGGUCCAGACUCCUACGGGAGGCAGCAGUGGGGAAUAGUGCACAAUGGGCGCAAGCCUGAUGCAGCGACGCCGCGUGAGGGAUGGAGGCCUUCGGGUUGUGAACCUCUUUCGCCAGUGAAGCAGGCCUGCCUCGUUUGUGGGUGGGUUGACGGUAGCUGGAUAAGAAGCGCCGGCUAACUACGUG